rnacentral:rRNA from 1 species
UACGUAGGGGGCUAGCGUUGUCCGGAUUUAUUGGGCGUAAAGAGCGUGUAGGCGGCCAUGUAGGUCCGGUGUGAAAACUCGAGGCUUAACCUCGAGAUGUCAUCGGAAACCAUUUGGCUAGAGUCCGGAAGAGGAGAGUGGAAUUCCUGGUGUAGCGGUGAAAUGCGCAGAUAUCAGGAAGAACACCAAUGGCGAAAGCAGCUCUCUGGGCAGUAACUGACGCUGAGGAGCGAAAGCGUGGGGAGCGAACAGG